rnacentral:rRNA from 1 species
CCUUGACAUGCAGAGAACUUCAGAGAUGGAUUGGUGCCUUCGGGAACUCUGACACAGGUGCUGCAUGGCUGUCGUCAGCUCGUGUCGUGAGAUGUUCGGGUUAAGUCCCGUAACGAGCGCAACCCUUGUCCUUAGUUACCAGCACGUUAUGGUGGGCACUCUAAGGAGACUGCCGGUGGACAAACCGGAGGAAGGUGGGGAGUGACGUCAAGUCAUCAUGGCCCUUACGGCCUGGGCUACACACGUGCUACAAUGGUCGGUACAAAGGGUUGCCAAGCCGCGAGGUGGAGCUAAUCCCAUAAAACCGAUCGUAGUCCGGAUCGCAGUCUGCAACUCGACUGCGUGAAGUCGGAAUCGCUAGUAAUCGUGAAUCAGAAUGUCACGGUGAAUACGUUCCCGGGCCUU